UGAGGAAUAUUGGUCAAUGGGCGGAAGCCUGAACCAGCCAAGUCGCGUGAGGGAAUAAGGCCCUACGGGUCGUAAACCUCUUUUGCCGGGGAGCAAGGGCGGGGACGUGUCCGGCCCGGAGAGUACCCGGAGAAAAGCAUCGGCUAACUCCGUGCC
rnacentral:rRNA from 1 species